AGUCCGUUGGUGUAACAGUCAACACUAAUCCUAUCCGCUUGUUGGAUCGCGUUUCCUUCCUCGCUCACAGUAUAGAAGCUACCGGUUCGAAUCCGGUACGGGCCU